AUGCUCACCUGUGAAGAGGGAGAACGCCCCUGUCUGAGCAAGUGUCUCUUCUCUGUCCUUGGCUGCCUUCCUCCUCCUUCUCCUGCCACCUACUUUGGGGCCCCUUCCUCUUCUCGGCCGUGCCACUGACCAGCCCAGCCUCAUGCACCAUCCCGGCCGCUGCCCUGGAGGGCUGGCAGCUGGCAGGACCUGAAGAGGGCCCAGCCGUCACCCCUCUCUUGAGCAGAUGACAGAUAACACUGGGAGUUACUAUGGACACUGGAAAAUAGAACACAGAUGCAUCUGAGAUUUUGUAGUUGCAACUCUUCUCUGCUAACCAAAAACACCAGGACAUUCAUUGCAAAUGCAACGCUGAGGGUUUGAAGGAACCAAAGAGUUCCUUUGCAGCCCUGAGGAGGGAGGGAGGGAGGGAGAAGGGAGUGGGGAGGGAGGGAGGGAGUCCACUACAGAAAGUGGCACUAAUCCCUCUGAGCCUCCCUGGCCUCAUUUGUAAGAUGCCAGCUGCCCCGGAGUGGCAGUGGCAAGUGAGUGGCUGUGUAAGGUGCCUGAGCAGGAGCAUGUGGGCAGCCCUGUGUAAAGCAGGCAGCCUUGGGCCAGGUUCCCUAGAAGCAGAGCUGAGAUGGGGAUUCCUGAUCAUGCGAUUGGGGGUGCUUCCUAAGAAGUUGCUCCCUGCCCCAACUCCGAGCCAGGGCGGCACUGACCAUGGGCAACUUUCCCUUGCAGGGGGCACUCCCAGCUGCCGGGGAGGGGCAGUGGCCCUGAAGGGGCCUGGUCAGGACCAACAGUUUUCUUUGCAGUGGUGUGUUUGUCCCCAUUUCACAGACGAGGAAACUGAGGCUUGGAGAGACCCAGGGCCUUGCCCAGGCCCCACACCACACCCAGGAGGGGCGGUGCUGGAGUCCUGCACCACGUUGCUGUUCUCACCAGGAGGAGGCCUUUGUUUGCUAUGUCCAGCGACCCCAUCUCCACGCUGCAGGCAGGAGAACACAGCUGGGUGUGAGCCACGAGUGAGGCCUCAAGGAGAAGCGAGAGCAGCGGUGUUGCCGUCUGGAUGUCAAAGGCGCUCACCUGCUUCUGCCGCACACGGGACUCUGAGCCAGGCAUUAAGCUCCUGGAUGCCUCUCGCGUUCCUGGGCUAGGGGCCCUUCCUCCAUCUCAGAGCCGGCCAUGGUGUGUCCCCUGACCUUCCGCAGCCAUAUCCCUCUUUGAUGGGGCUCUGCUUCUGGCCCUCACUCCACACUGAAGGGCCCUGUGAUCACAUGGCCCACCCACCAAUCCAGGUGGCCUCCCUCCAAGGUCAGCCGGUGAUCUGCCUUCAUGCGUGCAUGGUGUCUCUGACCCUUGGCCACGCAACCUAACAUAGUCACAGGUCCUGGAGAUUUGCACUGGGAUAUCUUGGGUGAGGGGAAUUAUUCUGCUGACCCCCGAUGGCAACUGGAGUGGUGGGAGGGGAAGAGAACACCAGGAUAUGUUCAGAGAGAGAAGCGUGGACCUCAGGGGAUGUCAGGGGAAGAGGGCCCGGGAGGGAGAAAGCGUUUGGUUUAGACGUGUUGGGUGUGAGGUGCCCAUGGGACAGUAGGAUGGAGCUGGUGGGGGAAGCUGGGGGGCUGCCGUGGGGUUCUAGCACAUGGAAGCCAAGGAGGGAGUCGUGGGGUGGAGGGGUCACGGGACUCCCCAAGGUCCUGGGUCUGCCUCAGGGCCGCCGCUGCUUCGCACUCCUCCUCCCAUGCCUGAGCACCCAUGGCAGUGACCAGCAGUGACCAUCAUCACCCAAUGAGGACAGAGAGAAACUGAGGCUGGCCUGAGGUGUCCUGGGGAAUGAGCUGGCACCGGAGUCCCACAGGUGAAGGGACGUUACAUGGAACGGAGGCUUUGCAGAAGUGAUUUUGGAUCUUGAGAUGGGGAGGUUAUCCUGGCUUGGUGCUGGUCAUUACCCCAAAAGACACAAUCCCAAAAGCCAGGAUCUGGAAUGUCAAAAUCCUGAAAGAUCAACAUCCGUAAAGUCUGAAAUCCCUAACAUCUGAUUGAAUCCCUAAACCAUAAUGACAGAUUUGGAAUUAGGUUCAAUCAAGGCUUCUAAAAGCACAUUUCAAGUGUUAGCAAUAAAGUUUGUUUUUUUCCAUUCAGCCCAAUGCAUUUGGCAAAAAAAAAAUCCAGAUGAGUGGAUUGGCCAGGCAGUACGGUAGUGACAAAAACUUCGGUUUAAAACUGCAUUAUUUGCCUGCACUGGCAUUUCUUCCAGCUGAUGAAAUUCUAGGAGAGUCAUGUCCUAGAGGAUAAAAAGCAACUAUUCAUUGAGAUGAGAGACUUCAAAGAUAGUCAAUGAUCGUGAAAGUUGGCAAGCCUUUCUGGACCAUCUCGUGCAAUUGCUCUAAUCUAUCCCUGUAAUAGAUCCUUUUAAUACGCUUUGUCAUAUGUUGAAUUUUCUUUUUAGUUUUUACUUUUCUUUUGUUGUUGUUGUUGUUUUCCCAUUUUUUAAAAUUAUUAUUAUUUUGGAGACAGAGUCUCACUCUGUCACCCAGGCUGGAGUGCAGUGGUGCGAUCUCGGUUCACUGCACCCUCUGCCUCCCAGGUUCAAGCAAUUCUCCUGCCUCAGCCCCCUGAGUAGCUGGGGCUACAGGCACCCACCAUUAUGUCUGGCUAAAUUUUGUAUUUUUAGUAGAGACAGGGUUUCACCAUGUUGGCCAGGCUGGUCUCAAACUCCUGACCUCAAGUGAUCCGCCCAUCUCGGUCCCAAAGUGUUGGGAUUACAGGUGUGAGCCACCACAUCCAGCCCCAUUGUUUUUAAUUAUCAACAUUAUUUUUUACAACUUGUUAUUCUAUGUAUUUCAUCUUUGCAUAAUUUCCAGUAUGGGAGGUAUAGACUGUGUAAAGACUUUGAGAGUUCUAAUUUGUUGUAUGCAUUUUUUACAAAUGUGACUCCAUGAAAAUGCAUGAUCAC